UUACAAUGGAGAGUUUGAUCCUGGCUCAGGAUGAACGCUAGCGGCAGGCCUAAUACAUGCAAGUCGAGGGGCAGCACAGGUAGCAAUACUGGGUGGCGACCGGCAAACGGGUGCGGAACACGUACGUAACCUUCCUUUAAGUGGG
rnacentral:rRNA from 1 species